CACACGACGAGUUGACGGUACCAUUAUCGGCAAUUGUUUUCCACUUUUCCCGCUUUUAAUUGCGUUGUUAUUUGUUAAGCUUUCAAAAGUUCAGUUCAACUUGAAUGAACGUAAAAUGCUUGCCAGCAGUUUUUCACUAUGCAACAAGAAAGGAUGAUGAAUGGUUGGAGUUUGUUGUCAAGUUUUCAUCAAGUCCAACUCAUUUACUCAAGAGGACAAGUUUAUAGCACUAGAACUUAUGCUAUGUUAAUGGAUUACAUUUCUCCUUUAUCCGUAGACAUUCUGUUCAUCCGAGUGAGUUGGGACUGCAGUGCUGGAGAGACACUCUUGUUCGUCGUUACCUCCCAGCUGAAUGCGAACCUCUUCAGGUCUAUAAAUUUAGGCGACAAUCCACCGGGAACGGGUGGAGUGAGCACGACGUGAGAACCUUCUUCUUGUCUCGAUGUCAGUCUGAUCAUCCGUUGAAAAUUCAUCGUCGACAACACACCUGGCCGCCGGAUGGACAGUGGGCUGAGCGCCUGAGCGGGCAACCUUCAAACUACGUCACUACGAAACAGCUGAGACAAGCUGUAUUGAACAGUGACAUCCAGCAGGGCUGAACAAAAUUUCCGUCCCCAUCACAUUAUUUCCUGAAAUGAAUACUGAGCAUCUGACACCCCGACCCCAGGUGUGUUGUUUUGAGUUCAAAGGCGAGAUAUGCAGAGAUCUUUAAUCCAGAUGCUAUAUCAGUAAUGAUGACCUUCACAUUAAAGUCAUGGAAAAUGAACCGUCAAUGCUUUACAGCAGCAACCCAUUCGGAUUGAGGGGUCGAUACUGUUGGUGAUUGUGGAGGUGUAGACUCAGACGUCGAGUAGUUGAUUGACUCCAGGCAUGGGACGACUGUAGGAUCGAAAAAGAAUCCAGUAGGAAUCGGAAGCACUUGAGAAACUUAUACCUUGUCGACGUUGACGAAAAACGUAAGGCGAUGAUCGACGAUGUUGGCGAUUUGUUUCACGAGUUGAUGUCGCGGCUCGUGAUGAUCCAAGUUGACGGUCACGUCGACGGCGAUUCUGAAACCACCACUAAUGUAAUCAAGAGCAGAUAUGAAUUUCAGAGACGCCAAUCAACUGGGCGAUGCGGCGACGACCUUCUCGAUUGGGAAACGAAUCCCUGGCGAACUCUGCGUCCAGUAACUCCAACUGGACCUCGUCGUAAAAGUGGCGCUGGCGG